UACGUAGGGUCCGAGCGUUGUCCGGAAUUAUUGGGCGUAAAGAGCUCGUAGGCGGCCUGUCGCGUCUGCUGUGAAAGUCCGGGGCUUAACUCCGGGUGUGCAGUGGAUACGGGCAGGCUUGAGGUAGGUAGGGGAGACUGGAAUUCCUGGUGUAGCGGUGAAAUGCGCAGAUAUCAGGAGGAACACCGGUGGCGAAGGCGGGUCUCUGGGCCUUACCUGACGCUGAGGAGCGAAAGCGUGGGGAGCGAACAGGAUUAGAUACCCGGGUAGUUCCUGA
rnacentral:rRNA from 1 species